rnacentral:rRNA from 1 species
GAUGAACGCUAGCUACAGGCUUAACACAUGCAAGUCGAGGGGAAACGAUAUUGGAAGCUUGCUUCCGAUAGGCGUCGACCGGCGCACGGGUGAGUAACGCGUAUCCAACCUGCCCACCACUUGGGGAUAACCUUGCGAAAGUAAGACUAAUACCCAAUGAUAUCUCUAGAAGACAUCUGAAAGAGAUUAAAGAUUUAUCGGUGAGGGAUGGGGAUGCGUCUGAUUAGCUUGUUGGCGGGGUAACGGCCCACCAAGGCGACGAUCAGUAGGGGUUCUGAGAGGAAGGUCCCCCACAUUGGAACUGAGACACGGUCCAAACUCCUACGGGAGGCAGCAGUGAGGAAUAUUGGUCAAUGGGCGAGAGCCUGAACCAGCCAAGUAGCGUGCAGGAUGACGGCCCUAUGGGUUGUAAACUGCUUUUAUAAGGGAAUAAAGUGAGAGUCGUGACUCUUUUUGCAUGUACCUUAUGAAUAAGGACCGGCUAAUUCCGUGCCAGCCGCCGCAGUAAGAC